ACGACGACUCAGUCGCGAACCAGACAUGAUACCUUUCACGUCAAUUCCGUUCUCGGGCAAUUGUUGGAUCGUCGUACGCCAUGUCCGCAGUGGAUCGACGCCGCUCUAACGUACUAGCUACUCGCCUGGGAGAUGAGACCGUCUAAACCCUUGUUUACAUAUUGAUUUUUAAAAAAAUUUAAGCGUAAAAUUUUGAAGGGAAAAAUUCAAUUGCAAUGGUGUCGAUCGACACCGAUCCUCUCGAUCUCGUAGGGCUUUUCAAUAAGGGGCGAAUGAGAUGGCGAGAAUAAAAUUUUAAAACGCGUUCCUUUUUUAAUUGGAAACGACAGUUGGUGAGGAGGUGCACGCAGAAAUUCGUCGGUAAUUAAUUAAUCCUCGACCGACGAAUUUCAAUAAAAAUGAGCUAUCCCGGGGGGUGGCUAUCGGUCCUGGGGUACGCGACGAUUUAAAAGUGGCCGUACCGAGCAAAGAUACCGUGUAGAGGGGAUAUUGAUCGAACCUAGGGAAGGGGUUGUUAUCAAGUGGCGCUGCGUUAGGCGCGGGUCAGAACCGUGUCGUUAGAGCGUGCAUACUUAGUGCCAGUGCCAGUAUAGUGCCUGUGCGCCCAGCAAUAGCACUACGUUCAGGUAUGCAAUCCCAUUGCGGACUUUGUGCGGCACUGGGAACUGUCUUCAGAAGACUUAUGUGCAUCGCUCCGUCGAGGAGGGGAUCCCACGAUAGUUAUUACACAAAUAUCGAACGCCAUCAUGGAUCGCCACAACCGUCCUUGGACACAUCAGAUCCAAACGCAGUACUUAUCAGAAUGGAAGAACAUGAUAAAUUUUACUGUGAUUCUAAGCGACUUUCCAAUAGUGAAGUACAGUUAGUGGCAGCGCUUGAUUACCGAGGUUGGAAGACAGGAAAAUUUCUUACAAUUCAUAAAAGACGCCGGAGAAGGCUGACGACACGUUCUCUUCAUGAUACUGCACUUCUUGAUGACCUUCAUCACGGGCAAGUGCAAUGUGUCUUGGACAGGGUUUGGAAAUGGCCUUUUAAUGCCUUUACUUUAGAUACUGCUACAGGUGGUAGAUCACUGCCAGUUUUAUGUGUUCAUCUUUUUCAUUGGUAUGGCCUUAUUGACCAUUUUAACUUAGAUGUUGUUAGAAUAUGGAAAUUUUUUAGUUUAGUAGAAGAGGGUUAUCAUAGUACAAACCCUUACCAUAAUGCAAUACAUGCAACUGAUGUCACUCAAGCAAUGCAUUGCUUUCUCCAAGAAGAAAAGAUUAGGAGAUAUUUAACUUACACAGAGAUUCUGUCAGCGUUAAUAGCUGCUGUGACUCACGAUUUAGACCAUCCAGGUGUUAAUCAGCCUUUCCUUAUUGCAACUUCCAACCAUUUAGCCGCUCUUUAUGAGAACACUUCGGUGCUAGAGAAUCAUCAUUGGAGAUCUGCUAUCGGUUGUUUGCUCGAGAGUCACUUGGCAGAACAAGUAGUGAGUGUCAGGCCGGAACUAGAAAAACAAAUCGCUUCCUUAAUCCUCGCAACAGAUAUUACAAGACAACAAGAAUUUCUAACUAAAUUUAGGAAUUUCCUUGAUGAGGAGAGUCUUGAUAUGAAGAAAAGUGAGGAUCGGCAUUUCAUUCUUCAAAUCGCCCUGAAAUGUGCAGACAUUUCAAAUCCCUGUAGACCAUGGGAUAUCAGCAAAAAAUGGUCACUAAAGGUUUGUGAAGAAUUCUUUAGGCAAGGUGAUUAUGAACGUCAGUUAAAUCUUCCAGUUACUGCACUUUGUGAUAGACAUACUACUUCUGUGCCGAAAAUUCAAGCUGGAUUCUUCAGAUUUGUUGUCGAACCAUUAUAUAAGGAAUGGCAUCGGUUCUUAGACACGCCACUUUCACGGGAUUUAAUGAAGUAUCUAAAAAGCAAUCAGUCAAAAUGGGAGAAUUUGAUUCAACAAGAAAUUGCUGAAGAAACUAGAACAGAAAUAUCGGAGGCUGAAGAAAUACCCGAUGAGGUGGGAAGUAGUAUACAGCAUGUCGAAGAACGUCGUUGUUCUUUAUUAACAGUCCCAAGUAGGACAUUUGAAAAAAGGAGACAUUCAGUGCCUCUUAGUGUUAGUGGAAAAUCAACUAAUGGACAAAAUUCUUCCCGAAGAGAAAGUUUGCCAGAUCCAAGUAGAAAAAGGUUUAGCCCAAUGUUUGAUGAAGAUGACGAGCUUUCUAUUGUCUCUUCCUGUUCUUCCCUGAGGCGUUCUUCAGGUGGAAGUAACACAGAUGACAGACCUGUUAGUUCAGAAGCAUUGUUGCCAGAUGUAUCAAUAGCAUCUAUGACUUCUUCUAGUGAGGUACAGAAACUGACGUCAAUCCUCCAUGGAAACAUAUCCACAUCAUCCUCAUUGCAAGGAAGAUUGACCAGACAGCAAACCUUCCCACCUGUCCAGCCUUACAUAAGGCCGAGGUACCUAUCAGCUACUGGAGAGUUGAGGGGUAGUUCUAGCUCAGACUCGAGUGGAGGUGAACGUUGCCUAGACACUAAACCUUUAUUGGCCAAAGAGAAAGAAAAUGUCGAUCCUGAUGUUACAAAAAUAAUCCGACGAUCAGUCCCGCAGAAUUUGUGGAAAAGAAGAGGGUCAGCGCCAGUCGGGCUUCCACCUUGUGAUCCUACUAGUAUUAUACCAAGUUCGAGAAGGGGUUCAAUGCCAAAUGAGACGACAAUAGCAAGACAACAAAGUAGGCGAUGUUCACUUUCAAGUAGGCCUGUCGCCCACAUCCGCCAAGAUUGGAUUGAAUUCACAGUAUAACAACCUCAUAUAUUAACUUGGCGUUUAGCCUGAUUUUUUUUCAUUAUUUUUUAUUUUUGUCUUCCCAUCAUGACACACAAGUUACCCACUGAUGCCAUUUCGACGGUUUAACUUAAAUAAAUGAACAAUGAAGAAACUGAGUGUCAUAAUUUCUCAUGAGUCCACUAAACGGUCCAGACAAUUUUCGAUUAUAGGUUGAUACUUAUCAUUUAACUGAAAACAUUCAUUAUUUUACUUUUACAUGAAACUAUGAUAACUCAAUAAAGAUUAAGGGAUGGUUAGAUUAACAGAUUAGUAACGUUAAUGUUAAAUUUUUAAUUAACUAUACAUUUUAUUAAAGGUCUUGGCUGAGAUGAAAAAGCUGGUGUCAUGAGUGAGAUUCGAACUUGAUCUUUGUCUCAACACACACUCCUCUAACCAUUUGAACUACUGUGACUUCAAUCCGCUCAGACACCAACUCCUCAUCCCAACCUAAAACCUUUCAAAUUUUCCCUCGUUUUGCUCUAUUUUCAAUGGAUUCGAAUCCCGCUCACUACCUCUUUCAUCUCAACCAAGACCUUAAAUAAAAAGUACAAAUAAUUAAAAAGUAAUUAAUAAGUCAAUUAUGACUACUAAAUAAAGAUUCCUUACGAAUCGUCUAUUAAUGCACAUAAUACCUUGACAUAAAUCAUGUUAAAUAACCUUUUCAGGUUAUUGCUGAACAGGGCCAUUUACGAUACAAAAAUUACAUUUUGUCAUGAAACAUUUAGAUUGCUUUUAUUCAUAAAUUCAUCCGGGUCUUUUUAAACAUACACAUCUGCUUUAUUGAGUUACUAGCAAUUAUGAAGAUGCUUUUUGCAUGGCCUCAGUUGUUUUGAAAAUAACUUUCAGAGAGAAGAAAAGAUAAAUAAGGUAACUAAUUUUUUUUUCCUUCGCCUCCAAAGAAUUUCACAACUUUCUCCCUUUCCCUAUUUUUUUUUUUUUGUUUCAUUACUGAUAGAAUUAUAUAUGGAUUUUCAAAAUACAUCAAUAAAAAUUGACCCACACUCAGUUUCUUUCUAUUUUUUAUAUUUUUUUAUUAUUAAUUUUAAUUGCUAAAAUCUAAAAGUUCUUUCAUUUCAUUUUAUAAAAAUUAAUAUUUCAUUUUAACUUAACAGUAGGAUAUCUAGUGUGAAAAUGGUUAUAUCGUUUGACCAACUUGACACUUAAAUUGAUACUUUAUGUGCUUUCAAGCUUUGGCAUUCCUAUUUUCUGUUCUAUAAUUUUAAUUUAUUGUUUUUGUUUAAAAAAUAUAUAUAAAAUAUGUAUUUUAAAGAGAGCAAAAGACACUCGAGGCUUUUAUACUGUGAACUUGCGUUAUCUGGCGGUGAAGCUUUUAAGUAUGUUGUACAUAUUAACUGUCAAUAACAAAAUUGAAUGCUUGCGAAGUUUGUUGGUGUAUUUUGAUAACAGUUUAUUAUUUUAUUUUUUCAAUACUAAAAAUGAAUAAUUAAGUAGAUAAGGUUUACCGGUUUUACCAAAGCUUUUUGUCCUAUCGGCCUGUCCCUUUAUAAAUAUUGAAUGGUAUUUUGUGAAUGAUUUAGCUCUUGCGAUUGUGAAUGCUCCCAGCUUCAGUGAGGCGACAAAGGUAAACAUACAUUAAUCAAUUGGUACGAUGCAUUGUGACAAACUUUCAAUUUUAAAGAGAUGCAUGCUAAAUUUAAGAUAAAACGUUGCAUGAAAUACCAAAAUUUCUCCACAUUGAACGAUAUAACCAUUUGCAAGAUUUGAUUGUAAUUUUCUUAUAUAUAAAUUAAAUCAAUGUAUUUUGUAAUAAAGGCACGAUUUUUCUUUGUCACUUUUUUAAGAUAAGAAAUUUUCAAGACUCAAUAUUUUAAGUUAGUCUCACUCUAAUCACUCUUGCAAAGCAAUGUCCCUCCCCCCCGUACUAAUUUGUAAGUUCACCUACAGUUGUUUGUACUGUUGUGAACCUUAAAAACUUCCAAUUAAUUCAAUAGAAUUAAAAAAUGGGCGGUGUGUUUCUUAUAAAAAUUCUGAAUGUUUUCAAGGAAGCCUUGAUUAUAAUGUAAUUCAUAAUUUUAUACAAUAAAUAAACAGAUGUACAUGUGGUAUUAAGAAAUCUGUAAUCAUGAUUUAACCAGUAACAUGCUUUUGAUGAAGGACAGGCCAUCCAAUCAUUGCUUGGCCAAAGCAUGUCAAGACAAAAUGGAAACAUACGAACAUAAUUUAUCCUUAGAUGGUGAAGGAGGUAACUCAUUAACCGAAGAAGAAAGGAAAAAACGUCGGUCAAAGAAAAUGUUACGCCGUAGGUCUUCUGGCGGACCGGAAACAUUUAGACAAAAAGAUUCAACAUCAACAAAACGCAGGGGCUCGUUACCCAUAGAUGCACUCUCCUUUACUGGUGGCAGAAACAUAAAAGAGACUAUGAGGCACUGAGUGUUCGGAGGGAUGUAUGUUUUG